rnacentral:tRNA from 1 species
GGUCUCUUAGUUUAGUGGUAGAACGCAAGACUACGAUUCCAGCGGGUUUACCCGCGUAUCGAUUUGUCAUCUUGAGGUCGCGGUUUCGAUCACCGCAGAGACUU